UACGUAGGGCGCAAGCGUUGUCCGGAAUUAUUGGGCGUAAAGAGCUCGUAGGCGGCCUGUUGCGUCCGCUGUGAAAUCCCGGGGCUCAACCCCGGGCCUGCAGUGGAUACGGGCUGGCUAGAGGCAGGCAGGGGAGAACGGAAUUCCUGGUGUAGCGGUGAAAUGCGCAGAUAUCAGGAGGAACACCGGUGGCGAAGGCGGUUCUCUGGGCCUGUACUGACGCUGAGGAGCGAAAGCGUGGGGAGCAGACAGG
rnacentral:rRNA from 1 species